UGGGGAAUAUUGCGCAAUGGGGGAAACCCUGACGCAGCGACGCCGUGUGAGGGAAGAAGGCCUUCGGGUCGUAAACCUCUGUCAGGAGGGAAGAACCGCCAGGAGUCUAAUAAACUUUUGGCCUGACGGUACCUCCAGAGGAAGCGCCGGCUAACUCCGUGCCAGCAGCCGCGGUAAUACGGAGGGCGCGAGCGUUAAUCGGAAUCACUGGGCGUAAAGCGCGCGUAGGCUGUCUGGUAAGUCAGACGUGAAAUCCCUCAGCUCAACUGGGGAACUGCGUUUGAUACUGCCGGACUUGAGUCCCGGAGAGGGUGGCGGAAUUCCAGGUGUAGGAGUGAAAUCCGUAGAUAUCUGGAGGAACACCGGUGGCGAAGGCGGCCACCUGGACGGGUACUGACGCUGAGGUGCGAAAGCGUGGGGAGCAAACAGG
rnacentral:rRNA from 1 species